UUGACUGUCUUAUAUCGCUCCAUUCCACAAAUAAAGCAAUUAGUUAUACUUUUAUGACAAUGUUCCCUAUAAUACAACAUGCAUCCUUUUGGACAACAAUCAAUUUUCGUACAACCCAAACCCAAUUUUUCCACUGACUUCUUAGCUUGGAAAAAAUUAUUAACCAUUCGAUGAUCUUUGGGCAUAGUCUCCCCCAUAAGUUGGACCAUUCUAUUGAAAC
rnacentral:lncRNA from 1 species